rnacentral:rRNA from 1 species
CCUACGGGAGGCAGCAGUGGGGUAUCUUGCACAAUGGGGGAAACCCUGAUGCAGCGACGCCGCGUGUGGGAAGACGGUCCUCUGGAUUGUACACCACUUUCCCCCUUUCCUCCCCUUCCUUUCCCUUGGGCGGCCGCUCCGGCUCCCUCCGUGCCCGCCGCCGCGGUCCUCCGUCGGGCGCGCGCGUUGUCCGGAAUUCCUGGGUGUACCGGGAUCGUCGGCGGGUAUUCCCUUUUGUUUUCAACACUACCGGCUCAACUGGUAGUCGCACUCAGAACUGCAGCUCUUGAGUGAAGUAGAGGCAAGCGGAAUUCCUAGUGUAGCGGUGAAAUGCGUAGAUAUUAGGAGGAACACCAGGGGCGAAGGCGGCCUGCUGGGCUUUUACUGACGCGGAGGCGCGAAAGUGUGGGGAGCAAACAGGAUGAGAGACCCCGGUAGUC